CUCGCCUGCCGCCAUGUAAACGUUCUUUGCUCCUGCUUCGUCUUCUGCCGUGAUUGUGAGGCCUCCCCAGCCAUGUGGAACUACUCAUCACUCACUGCAGAUGUUACUUUAAGACAUUCUGGAGCAGCGUCAUGUGCAGCUAUAUUAUUUCCCUUAUGUUGGACCAUAAAUCUAAAAUUGUAAUUAAAUGUCCAUCCUCCAAAAACGGAAAUGCAAGCAUGUACAUGUCUUUAGAGGAACAAUAAGGAAGUGAGUGCUUUUGUAAUUCCUGAACAACUGUGUCUUACACUUACUAAGGGAUUCAUGGGCAAUAUGACUGAAUAGGAACAGCUCCAGUCUGAAGCUCCCAGUGAGACCAACAUAGAAGUUCUCUUGCCUGCCACCAUGUAAGAUAUGCUUUUACUCUUCCGCCUUCCACCGUGACUGUGAGGCCUCCCCAGCCAUGUGAAACUGCCUUUGAGCUUAUACUGAAUUAUACCACCAGCUUUCCUAGGUCUUGAAGCUUACAGACAGCAGAUCUUGGGACUUCUCAGGCACCAUAAUCAAUCAUAGAUAAAUGAUCCAAUGAUUCGGAACUUGAAAAGUGGUAGCUUUAUGAAUUCUCCUUAAGAAGAAACCUGUGCCCUGAUCUUGCCUACUCACCCAAAGGCACUGUGAGAUAGCAUCAAAGGAACAGCUAGUAAGAGACACAGAGCCAGAAAUCAGGGAAGUAAAAUACACUUGACAUCUACGUUCGGAAAGAAAUUUUAGGAGGCAGAAGCAAAUGGAUCAGAAGCUGCUUAUAUUUUUGCAAGAUUACCAAAGAAACCAUUGGUGGAGAAAGUUCUGUGACCAACUUGUCUGAGUCUAGUAAGAUUGAACGCUCACACACAAGUUUCAUGAAGUGGGUUUGAUACUUACAGAUAAGCAGCAAGGACCAACAGAAGCUGAUGAUCUAUGGUGAACUUUUUCCCAAGGCUCCGGAAAGCUGCCUAAAGUAGAUGGAGUCUUCUCUGUGUGUGCCCCACUGGUCCUGCAGUUGAAGGAUCCGGUAAAGCAGCCUGCCCUUGGUUUUAUACUCCAGAGGAACGUGAUUCGCUGGACUAAAGCAUUGAAGUGCAUCCUGUUUCCGGGGGGCACUGGAACAGAGCCUGGUCUGUUCUAGCCAGUCCCUUUCUAUCUCAGGAUAACAUUCUACAGUUAUUCUUGAGAACUAUAAUCAAAUAAGCAGGGAGAACUGGGUAAGUCCAAGGCUUAUCUAUACAAGCCUUUAAAUAUUCAAGACCAAAAAAAAAAAAAAAAAAAAAAAAAAAA
ensembl:lncRNA LINC02241 long intergenic non-protein coding RNA 2241